AUUCACCUCUAUUCCCAUGCUGUUGCCUCAUGUCUUCAAAAUGGCUGCUGAAACUCCAGCUACUCAUCCACAACCGAGGCUAUCCACUCUGAAGUUUUGUUCUAGCAGCCCAAACGGAUGAGGACGUGAAAGUGCCUUCUGCCUGGACUGCUUCUCCCUGGCUCUUCUCCCCGCUGGAUAUGUCUCUUUCUUCAGAUGUCAGACCAAAGCUGUGGAACGAAAGUGACUCCUGGGCUCUGCGAGCUGACAACACCCCCAGCUUGGAGUGCGCACCUCCCACAGGCCCCUGGUUUGGAGAGCUGGGGGGGCACCGAGGUAGGCAGGGGACAUGGUGGGGUCCUGGCACCCAGGCUGGG
rnacentral:lncRNA from 1 species